AGUGAACGCUGGCGGCAUGCCUAACACAUGCAAGUCGAACGGCAGCACGGGAGGAACUCUCGCGUCCAGUGGGCGCCGGGUGGGGAAGGCAUAGGAAUCUGCCAGGCUGCGGGGGAUAACGUAGUGACACUUACGCUAAUACCGUAUACGACCUUCGGGUGAACGUGGGGGACCUUCGGGUCUCAGGCGAUCGGCUGAGCCUAUGCCCGAUUAGCUAGUUGGCGGGGUAAGAGCCCACCAAGGCGACGAUCGGUAGCUGGUCUGAGAGGAUGAUCAGCCACACUGGAACUGAGACACGGCCCAGACUCCUACGGGAGGCAGCAGUGGGGAAUAUUGGACAAAGGGCGCAAGCCUGAUCCAGCAAUGCCGCGUGUGUGAAGAAGGCCUUCGGGUUGUAAAGCACUUUUGUUCGGGAAGAAAAGCGUGUGGUUAAUACCCGGACGGGAUGACGGUACCGAAAGAAUAAGCACCGGCUAACUUCGUG
rnacentral:rRNA from 1 species